CUAUACAUGCAGUCGAGCGAAUGGAUUAAGAGCUUGCUCUUAUGAAGUUAGCGGCGGACGGGUGAGUAACACGUGGGUAACCUGCCCAUAAGACUGGGAUAACUCCGGGAAACCGGGGCUAAUACCGGAUAACAUUUUGAACCGCAUGGUUCGAAAUUGAAAGGCGGCUUCGGCUGUCACUUAUGGAUGGACCCGCGUCGCAUUAGCUAGUUGGUGAGGUAACGGCUCACCAAGGCAACGAUGCGUAGCCGACCUGAGAGGGUGAUCGGCCACACUGGGACUGAGACACGGCCCAGACUCCUACGGGAGGCAGCAGUAGGGAAUCUUCCGCAAUGGACGAAAGUCUGACGGAGCAACGCCGCGUGAGUGAUGAAGGCUUUCGGGUCGUAAAACUCUGUUGUUAGGGAAGAACAAGUGCUAGUUGAAUAAGCUGGCACCUUGACGGUACCUAACCAGAAAGCCACGGCUAACUACGUGCCAGCAGCCGCGGUAAUACGUAGGUGGCAAGCGUUAUCCGGAAUUAUUGGGCGUAAAGCGCGCGCAGGUGGUUUCUUAAGUCUGAUGUGAAAGCCCACGGCUCAACCGUGGAGGGUCAUUGGAAACUGGGAGACUUGAGUGCAGAAGAGGAAAGUGGAAUUCCAUGUGUAGCGGUGAAAUGCGUAGAGAUAUGGAGGAACACCAGUGGCGAAGGCGACUUUCUGGUCUGUAACUGACACUGAGGCGCGAAAGCGUGGGGAGCAACAGGAUUAGAUACCCUGGUAGUCCACGCCGUAAACGAUGAGUGCUAAGUGUUAGAGGGUUUC
rnacentral:rRNA from 1 species